GAUGGGAAAAUGGUUAAUAUUCCAUUACUUCUGUGUAAUGCGAUGAGAGGACGGAGAAGGCUAAAUCAGCCUGGCGUUGGUUGUCCAGGUGAAAGGAUGUAGGCAUGUAUCUUAGGCAAAUCCGGGGUACUCUAUGCUGAGAUCUGAUAGCAAGCUGUACUUGUACAGCGAAGUGGUUGAUGCCAUGCUUCCAGGAAAAGUCUCUAAGCUUCAGUUACACAGGAAUCGUACCCGAAACCGACACAGGUGGUCAGGUCGAGUAGACCAAGGCGCUUGAGAGAACUCUGCUGAAGGAACUAGGCAAAAUGGUACCGUAACUUCGGGAGAAGGUACGCUGUUGUUGGUGAUGGAACUCGCUUCCUGAGCUGACGACAGCCGCAGAAACCAGGCCGCUGCAACUGUUUAUUAAAAACAUAGCACUCUGCAAACACGAAAGUGGACGUAUAGGGUGUGAUGCCUGCCCGGUGCUGGAAGGUUAAUUGAUGGGGUUAGCGUAAGCGAAGCUCUUGAUCGAAGCCCCAGUAAACGGCGGCCGUAACUAUAACGGUCCUAAGGUAGCGAAAUUCCUUGUCGGGUAAGUUCCGACCUGCACGAAUGGCAUAAUGAUGGCGGCGCUGUCUCCAGCAGAGGCUCAGUGAAAUCGAAAUCGCUGUGAAGAUGCAGUGUACCCGCGGCUAGACGGAAAGACCCCGUGAACCUUUACUGCAGCUUGACACUGAACUUUGACCUUACUUGUGUAGGAUAGGUGGGAGGCUUUGAAGCUGGAACGCUAGUUCCAGUGGAGCCGUCCUUGAAAUACCACCCUGGUAAUGUUGAGGUUCUAACUCUGUCCCGUGAUCCGGGACGAGGACCGUGUCUGGUGGGUAGUUUGACUGGGGCGGUCUCCUCCUAAAGAGUAACGGAGGAGUACGAAGGUGCGCUCAGCGUGGUCGGAAAUCACGCGUAGAGUAUAAAGGCAAAAGCGCGCUUAACUGCGAGACCCACAAGUCGAGCAGGUACGAAAGUAGGUCUUAGUGAUCCGGUGGUUCUGUAUGGAAGGGCCAUCGCUCAACGGAUAAAAGGUACUCUGGGGAUAACAGGCUGAUACCGCCCAAGAGUUCAUAUCGACGGCGGUGUUUGGCACCUCGAUGUCGGCUCAUCUCAUCCUGGGGCUGAAGCAGGUCCCAAGGGUAUGGCUGUUCGCCAUUUAAAGAGGUACGCGAGCUGGGUUUAGAACGUCGUGAGACAGUUCGGUCCCUAUCUACCGUGGGCGCUGGAAAUUUGAGAGGAUCUGCUCCUAGUACGAGAGGACCAGAGUGGACGAACCUCUGGUGUACCGGUUGUGACGCCAGUCGCAUCGCCGGGUAGCUAUGUUCGGAAGGGAUAACCGCUGAAAGCAUCUAAGCGGGAAGCCUACCUCAAGAUAAGAUUUCCCUAGGACUUUAUGUCCUCUAAAGAGCCGUUCGAGACUAGGACGUUGAUAGGUUGGAUGUGGAAGCAUAGUGAUAUGUGAAGCUGACCAAUACUAAUUGCUCGUGAGGCUUGACUAU
rnacentral:rRNA from 1 species